AAAGCUCAAAUUUAAAAUCUGGCAGCUCUCUUAUCUGCCCGAGUUGUAAAUUAGAGAAGUGCAAUCCGCGCUGGACUGUGCAAAAGUCUCUUGGAAAGGAGCAUCAUAGAGGGUGACAAUCCCGUCUUUGGCACAGAUCUACAGGGCUUUUGUGAUGCGCUCUCAAAGAGUCGAGUUGUUUGGGAAUGCAGCUCUAAAUGGGUGGUAAAUUCCAUCUAAAGCUAAAUAUUGACGAGAAACCGAUAGCGCA
rnacentral:rRNA from 1 species